rnacentral:rRNA from 1 species
AUUGAACGCUGGCGGCAGGCUUAACACAUGCAAGUCGAGCGGGGUGAUGGUGCUUGCACUAUCACUUAGCGGCGGACGGGUGAGUAAUGCUUAGGAAUCUGCCUAUUAGUGGGGGACAACAUCUCGAAAGGGAUGCUAAUACCGCAUACGUCCUACGGGAGAAAGCAGGGGAUCACUUGUGACCUUGCGCUAAUAGAUGAGCCUAAGUCGGAUUAGCUAGUUGGUGGGGCAAAGGCCUACCAAGGCGACGAUCUGUAGCGGGUCUGAGAGGAUGAUCCGCCACACUGGGACUGGGACACGGCGCAGACUCCUCCAGGAGGCAGCAGUGGGGAAUAUUGAACAAUGGGGGGAACCCUAAUCCAGCCAUGCCGCGUGUGUGAAGAAGGCCUUAUGGUUGUAAAGCACUAUAAGCGAGGCGUAGGCUCUUUUGGUUAAUACCCAAGAUGAGUGGACGUUACUCGCAGAAUAAGCACCGGCUAACUCUGUGCCAGCAGCCGCCGUAA